UAUAUAUAUAUAUAUAUAUAUAUAUAUUUACUCCCAGCGUAUGAAGUGAGCCACAUAUCAAAAGAAACUGCGGUUGAAGUGAGGUCCUGUACAAAGUGAGACUUUUUCGUAGACAUGUACUGAUAGCAAACACUGUUUUUUUACAAAAAAAA
rnacentral:lncRNA from 1 species